UCAAACAUUCACUUCCUGAUUAGAGAACUGUGUGAGAUAAACUCGCAAGGUCCACUGCAAGGUCGCAUUCAGAUUCACCCUACAUUUUUUUUCGUUAAUCCGUUUCCCUCAGAUGUACAUCGCAAUACGAAAAACAAGAUUUGUCGCUACUACGGUUACAUUGCAAUUUUAAUUCAAUUUGAAAAGGAGUCUGAAAGUCAGAAUUGCGAGAUGUAAAGUCAGAAUUGCAAAAAAGUCAGAUAUGUGAGACGUAAAGUCAGAAUUGCAGAAAAAGUCAGAAUUGCAGAAAAAGUCAGAAUUGCUAAAAAAAGUCAAAAAUGCGAGAUGUAAGGUCAGAAUUGCUAAAAAAGUCAGAAAUGCGAGAUAUAAAGUCAGAAUUGCAAAAAAGUCAGAUAUGUGAGAUGUAAAGUCAGAAUUCCGAGACGUAAAGUCAGAAUUGCAGAAAAAGUCAGAAUUGCAAAACAAGUCAGAAAUGCGAGAUGUAAUGUCAGAAUUGCUAAAAAAGUAAAAAUGCGAGAUGUAAAGUCAGAAUUGCAGAAAAAGUCAGAAUUGCAGAAAAAGUCAGAAAUGCGAGACGCAAAGUCAGAAUUGCAGAAAAAGUCAGAAUUGCUAAAAAAAGUCAAAAAUGCGAGAUGUAAGGUCAGAAUUGCUAAAAAAGUCAGAAAUGCGAGAUAUAAAGUCAGAAUUGCAAAAAAGUCAGAUAUGUGAGAUGUAAAGUCAGAAUUCCGAGACGUAAAGUCAGAAUUGCAGAAAAAGUCAGAAUUGCAAAACAAGUCAGAAUUGCAAAAGUCAGAUAUGUGAGAUGUAAGGUCAGAGUUGCAGAAAAAGUCAAUUGCAUUAAAAAGUCAGAAAUGCGAGAUGUAACGUCAGAAUUGCUAAAAAAAAGUCAGAAAUGCGAGAUGUAACGUCAGAAUUGCAAAAAAAGUCAGAUAUGUGAGAUGUAAGGUCAGAAUUGCUAAAAGUCAGAAAUGCGAGAUGUAAAGUCAGAGUUGCAGAAAAAAGUCAGAAUUGCAAAAGUCAGAUAUGCGAGACGUAAAGUCAGAAUUGCUAAAAAAUGCGAGAUGUAAGGUCAGAAUUGCAGAAAAAGUCAGAAAUGCAAGAUGUAAAGUCAGAAUUCCGAGACGUAAAGUCAGAAUUGCAGAAAAAGUCAGAAUUGCAAAACAAGUCAGAAUUGCAAAAGUCAGAUAUGUGAGAUGUAACGUCAGAAUUGCUAAAAAAGUCAGAAAUGCGAGAUGUAACGUCAGAAUUGCUAAAAAAAAGUCAGAAAUGCGAGAUGUAACGUCAGAAUUGCAAAAAAAGUCAGAUAUGUGAGAUGUAAGGUCAGAAUUGCUAAAAGUCAGAAAUGCGAGAUGUAAAGUCAGAAUUGCAAAAAAGUCAGAAUUGUGAGACGUAAAGUCAGAGUUGCAGAAAAAAGUCAGAAUUGCAAAAAAAGUCAUAAAUGCGAGAUGUAAGGUCAGAAUUGCAGAAAAAAGUCAGAAUUGCAAAACAAGUCAGAAAUGCGAGAUGUAAAGUCAGAAUUGCAAAAAAGUCAGAAUUGCUAAAAAAAAGUCAGAUAUGCGAGACGUAAAGUCAGAAUUGCAGAAAAAAGUCAGAAUUGCUAAAAAAGUCAGAAAUGCGAGAUGUAAAGUCAGAAUUGCAAAAAAGUCAGAAAUGCGAGACGUAAAGUCAGAGUUGCAGAAAAAAGUCAGAAUUGCAAAACAAGUCAGAAAUGCGAGAUGUAACGUCAGAAUUGCAAAAAAGUCAGAAUUCCGAGACGUAAAGUCAGAAUUGCAAAAAAGUCAGUUGCAUUAAAAAGUCAGAAAUGC